rnacentral:rRNA from 1 species
UGGGGAAUUUUGGACAAUGGGGGCAACCCUGAUCCAGCAAUGCCGCGUGUGUGAAGAAGGCCUUCGGGUUGUAAAGCACUUUUGUCCGGAAAGAAAUCGCGCUGGUUAAUACCUGGCGUGGAUGACGGUACCGGAAGAAUAAGCACCGGCUAACUACGUGCCAGCAGCCGCGGUAAUACGUAGAGUGCGAGCGUUAAUCGGAAUUACUGGGCGUAAAGCGUGCGCAGGCGGUUUUGUAAGACAGGCGUGAAACCCCCGGGCUUAACCUGGGAAUUGCGCUUGUGACUGCAAGGCUAGAGUGCGUCAGAGGGGGGUAGAAUUCCACGUGUAGCAGUGAAAUGCGUAGAGAUGUGGAGGAAUACCGAUGGCGAAGGCAGCCCCCUGGGACGUGACUGACGCUCAUGCACGAAAGCGUGGGGAGCAAACAGGAUUAGAUACCCUGGUAGUCCACGCUCUAAACGAUGUCAACUAGUUGUUGGGGAUUCAUUUUCUCAGUAACGUAGCUAACGCGUGAAGUUGACCGCCUAGGGAGUACGGUCGCAAGAUUA